rnacentral:rRNA from 1 species
CCUACGGGUGGCAGCAGUAGGGAAUGUUCGUCAAUGGGCGCAAGCCUGAACGAGCAAUGCCGCGUGAAGGAGGAAGGUCUGCGGAUCGUAAAGUUCUGUUGAAGGGGAAAAAGAGCGGAGAGAGGAAAUGGUCUCCGAUUGAUAUUACCCUUCGAGGAAGUCACGGCUAACUACGUGCCAGCAGCGGCGGUAAUACGUAGGUGGCGAGCGUUAUCCGGAGUGAUUGGGCGAAAAGGGGGCGUAGGCGGCCUGCAAAGUCUGGGGUGAAGGGGACCGGCUCACCCGGUACAGGCUCUGGAAACUGGCGGGCUAGAGUGCAGUAGAGGGCGGUGGAACUCCAUGUGUAGCGGUCAAAUGCGUAGAUAGAUGGAAGAACACCAGUGGCGAAGGCAGCCGCCUGGCCUGUGACUGACGCUGAGGCACGAAAGCGUGGGGAGCAAAUAGGAUUAGAUACCCGAGUAGUC